rnacentral:rRNA from 1 species
UACGUAGGGUGCGAGCGUUAAUCGGAAUUACUGGGCGUAAAGCGUGCGCAGGCGGUUAUAUAAGACAGAUGUGAAAUCCCCGGGCUCAACCUGGGAACUGCGUUUGUGACUGUGUGACUGGAGUACGGCAGAGGGGGGUGGAAUUCCUGGUGUAGCAGUGAAAUGCGUAGAUAUCAGGAGGAACAUCGAUGGCGAAGGCAGCCCCCUGGGCCUGUACUGACGCUCAUGCACGAAAGCGUGGGGAGCAAACAGG